rnacentral:rRNA from 1 species
GAUGAACGCUGGCGGCGUGCCUAAUACAUGCAAGUCGAACGUUAACUUUAGGAAACUGGAGUUGGCGUGGCGAACGGGUGAGUAACACAUGGUUGACCUGCCCUUCAGAGGGGGACAACGGCUGGAAACGGUCGCUAAUACCCCGUACGCUGGCUGGGGUUAGAGACCCGGUCAGGAAAGCGUGCAAACGUGCUGAAGGAGGGGACUGUGGCCCAUCAGCUAGUUGGAGAGGUAACGGCUCACCAAGGCGGGGACGGGUAGGGGGCCUGAGAGGGUGGUCCCCCACACUGGAACUGAGAGACGGUCCAGACUCCUACGGGAGGCAGCAGUAAGGGAUAUUGCGCGAAUGGACGAAAGUCUGACGCAGCAACGCCGCGUGCGGGAGGAAGGCCUUCGGGUCGUAAACCGCUUUUCGAGGUGAAGAGCGAGGACGG